GAGUUUGAUCAUGGCUCAGGAUGAACGCUGGCGGCGUGCUUAACACAUGCAAGUCGAACGGACAUAGAGGGGCUUGCUCCUCUAUGUUAGUGGCGGACGGGUGAGUAACGCGUGAGCAACCUGCCCAUAUCAGGGGAAUAACACAGUGAAAAUUGUGCUAAUACCGCAUAAGACCACGAAGCGGCAUCGCUUUGACGGUAAAAAGAUUUAUCGGAUAUGGAUGGGCUCGCGUCCCAUUAGAUAGUUGGCGGGGUAACGGCCCACCAAGUCGACGAUGGGUAGCCGACCUGAGAGGGUG
rnacentral:rRNA from 1 species